UCAGGGAGGGGAGAAGGUAUGGGUGACAGAGAGAGGGAGGAUUCCAUUCCCAUAUUAAGUUUUGUAGAGGUCCCUGACCAUGCCUAAAAAUACUGACACUGAAGGUGUGAGCAUUUACAAGAUGGCCACCAUGGAAUUCUGAGGGUUGAUGAGCUAUACUGUGGAGAGAGAGAGACAUAUUGAGAGCGUCAUAUAAUCAUCAACAUGCCGUCGGUCUUUACAGAAUUCAGAAGCCAUCAUACGAAGCAUCGGGGAGUGCUGACGUUCCGGUUGGUGGUGACGUCGGGACCGGGGCCCGACACCAAUGGAACUGGGGGUGCCUAAGCCAGCUCGUUGGGCUGUUACGUCCUAGCUGGCUCGAGAGGUUUCUUGCCCCGGUUGGCUCGGCAGGCGCCCAUCUCACGUCAGUACUCAGCCGGCUCGUCAGGCUGCUACGCCUCAGCCCGGAUCUUUGGGCUCCCACGCCUGAACGGGAUCGACAGGCCUUCAUGCCUCAGCCGGAUCGUCAGGCUCCUAUGCCUCAGCCGGCUCACCAGGCUCUCACGCCUCUGCCGGUUCGUCGGGGUUUCACGCCGAGACGGCUUGUCCAGCGCCUGUGCUGACGUUGUUCCUGUCUUGUUUUAUGUCUGUUCCUGAUUAAAUGUUUGACUCCCCAUA